rnacentral:rRNA from 1 species
GAUGAACGCUGGCGGUAUGCCUAACACAUGCAAGUCGUACGAGAGUUUUUAACUCUAGUGGCGGACGGGUGAGUAACACGUGAGAAUUUGCCUUUAGGAGGGGGACAACAAUCGGAAACGAAUGCUAAUACCCCAUAUGCUUUCGAGUGAAAUGGAUUUUAUCCGCCUAGAGAGAAGCUCGCGGCUGAUUAGCUUGUUGGUAAGGUAAGAGCUUACCAAGGCGACGAUCAGUAUCUGGUUUGAGAGGACGAUCAGACACACUGGAACUGAGACACGGUCCAGACUCCUACGGGAGGCAGCAGUGGGGAAUUUUCCGCAAUGGGCGAAAGCCUGACGGAGCAAUACCGCGUGAGGGAAGAAUGCCUAUGGGUUGUAAACCUCUUUUUUUCCUAGGGAGGAAUAAAAUGACGUGUACCUGAAGAAUAAGCAUCGGCUAACUCCGUG